rnacentral:lncRNA from 1 species
ACUCCAGUCACUUUCCAGGCAAGACAGGGCUACCUUCAGCAUCUCUAGUGAAAGUGGUGAAUUAGCACUUCAGAAGUGAGAUGGCAUGGACAGAAGCUUCUGGGGCUGAGCUCACCAUUGGAAGCUUCUUUCCAGCUUCCUGAAGGUCUCUGGAGGUCUCUUCUUACCGGGGAGGAUGAUCCCUGGUGGCUCCCUGCUGACAUUCUUCAAAACUCGGCUAUUUCCCCAGUGUCCUGCUGAUAAAACAGAAGAGGAAAUGAUGAAAGAUGCCAGUGUCUCUACAUCGUGACAACUUUGAAUGUGACCAUUGUAUCACCUACUAAGUCCGGCAGAACUAGAAAUUAUGGCUGAAGUUCCAGAAAGUUCCAGAAAGCACAUUUGGCCUUAUAAUAGAUAAUUACUAACUGCAAGAGCUGUGCAUUUACUAAAUGAUAUGCUCUGCCAAGGAGCGAGUUCCCCAUCACAGAGAGCAGCAGAAGCCAUCAUCAGGAAUGCUGCGUGUGGAUUUCUGAGUUGAGUAUGCGGUUAAAACACAAGACGCUAGGUUUAGUCCAAUCUUAAAAUUCUACGAUUUUAAUCUUUUAAAAAUAGUGUUUGCAUAGUAUUUUUAAGUUUUUGAUGAACCUCACAUACAUGAUCUCAUUGAUUCUUUUUUAAAAAAUGGAGGUCACUUUUUCUUGGCUUAAACAAAUGAAAAUAAAUAUAAACAAUAUAGACUUCUGAAGAAGGAUGGCAGAAUAAAGGCAAAAUAAAGACUCUCCUCCUCCAACAUCUAAAAUAUGAAUAAAAAUAAUAAAAAUCAGCAAAAAAAAAAAAACCCACAAAAAAACAGCAACAGCAAGAACACAAAGAAAUGGGAGCAACCUAACGUCAUAGACUUCAAAAAGGGGAGGACAAAGGAAGGAAGGAGAGAUUUUAGAAAAGUAGUUUCUCUGUGCUCACUUUGGAAGACUUGGAUUACCAAAAUAUUGAAAAAUUGAAUCAAAAGCUAUUAAUCUGAAAAGAAACAAAUUAGCAGGGCAUAUUGUUUUCCUUGAAUGCUUUAGGUUAUAGAACAGGUUAAUAACAAUAUGAAUUCAACAUAGUGGGUCCCAAAGAGGAAAUGAUGAAACAAGAGAAUGAUCUGGAAAAGUGAUUUUCUACUGUCCUAUAGAAACAAAUUAAAGACCAAAACAAUAUUAUUUUUUUUUAAUGAUACUUUAGUUCUAGGGUACAUGUGCACAAUGUGCAGGUUUGAUACAUAGGUAUACAUGUGCCACGUUGGUUUGCUGCACUCAUCAACUCGUCAUUUACAUUAGGUAUUUCUCCUAAUGUUAUCCCUUCCCCCGUCGCCCAACCCCACGACAGGCCCGGGUGUGUGAUGUUCCCCGCCCUGUGUCCAAGUGUUUUCAUUCAAAACGACAUUAUUAUAGAACUGAUAAAUAGAUAAAAAUCAUCAAAAAAAAAAAAGCUGAAUAGGCACAACUCAAAAUAAGCUUACAGACAGAAAAAAAUCCUUAAGAUAAAGAUAGAAAUUGCAUGUGAAAAGCACAAAGCAAUUUCAGCCUAGUUCUUAAGCCUGGUUGUAGACAAUCUGCAAAUAGGACAGACAAAAUAUUCAAAGCUAUAAAACAAAAAAAAUUGCUCUGACAAAUGCAGAAACGAAUCUGCAGAUUGAAAGAGCACACCAUGACCCAAGAAAAACAAAUACUAAAUGAUCAGCACUGAGACAUAUCCUCAUUAACUUAUCAAACUUCAAGGACUUUUUUAAAAAGUAUUUUGGCAUAGGACAUAAAAAGUAAAGGAAGCCAGUUAGGGUUGCCUUUGACACUAACAAUCAAUUUUGCAUGCCAAGCUAUAAUAAAGCACUACCUAGGAUUUCCAAGGGAAAGUGUGACUCAAGAGUAUUUCACCCAUCCAGAAUGAGUUUCAGUAUAAAAGUCACAGAUAAAUAUUCUGACCCACGACAGAACUCAGGGAACACACACUCAUGAGUCCUUCUUGAGAGGAAUUAUUCAGUGAUGAACAGUCAAUUUAGAGAUGAAUAGAAAUAAAAUAUUUGGAAAUAUAGAGUCUGGGAUAAAAAAGACUUCUUAGGAACACAUAAUUCAUUUGAGUAUGGAACUCAUGGUAUUAAACAAUUACGGGAUUAAUGUUUCCACAACAGAAUGUGAAUAUUAUAAGCAAAGAUAUUGUAAAAAUAAUAUUAGAGCCAAAAUUGGGAAGUGAGGGGUAGGGAGAUGGGAGGAAGUACAAGUCUAAAGAUUUACUCAUCUUUCCGAUGUGUGAGUCAUUCAAUAUUGUCUAAAACUGAAACAUGUUGCUAAAAAAAUAAUGACUCCAACAUUUUAACAUUUUUCAUAGUAUCUUUUCUUAACCUUAUUUCCCCAAGAGGGAAUAUUGAGCAAAUAGUAUCUCCUGUGGUAAAGAAUAUUUAAUGAAAGGGCAACAAAUUUUCAGUUUUAUGUUAGUUUUACUUUUCUAAUGUUCAAUUCAAGUAACAUUAAAUCCAUUAGUUUUUUGAAGAAUGUGUAUAAUAUGAUCAUCUUUAUGUAAAAAUAUUUUUGCCUGUCUAUGUCUGUUUCUCUUUCAAUCUCUCUUUAGCAUAUGACAUGGCUUGACUCUGUGUCCCCACUCAAAUCUCACCUUGAAUUUUAAAAUCUCCAUAUGUCAAGGGAGGUACCAGGUGGAGAUAAUUGAAUCAUGGGGAGAAUUUCCCCCAUGCUGUUCUCAUGAUAGCGAGUGAGUUCUCAAAAUAUCUGAUGGUUUUAUCAGGGGCUUCCCCCUUCACUUGACACGCAUUCUCUCUCCUGCCGCCCUGUGAAGAGGUGCCUUCUGCCAUGAUUGUAAGUUUCUUGAGGCCUCCCUAGCCAUGUGGAACUGUGAGUUAAUUAAACCUCUUUUCUUUAUAAAUUACCCAGUCUUGGGUAUUUCUUCAUAGCAGGGUGAGAAUGGACUAAUGCGGCAUACAUUUCUCUUUCCUCUCCUCUCCUUUCCAAAUAGUAACUGGAUUUUCAUUCAGAUUUCCAUCUCUCUGCCAGGCAACCUAAGUACUUCAGGGGACUGUGAACCCAGCUCCAGGGCCAGGGUGGAAUGAUUGGGCUAAGGAUAAUUCCUUAUCCCAGGGAACUCAGGUCAAAACCAACCAGGGUGUGGCAUAUUCCUGCAGUAGAAUCUGGAAUGGGCUUGUGACCCAGCUCAGGCCAGUGAAACAUGAAGGAAGGCUUGGCGGAGAAUUCUGAAGAAGGAGCUUCUCAGCUUUUAAGAGAAGCUCACCAUAGGAAACUCCCUCUCUCCCUCUGGACUUGUUGGUUUAAAGACGCAAAACCUGGAGCUGCUACAGACAUUUUUCACCACUGCAAGUGAAGACUUCUGCCCCAUAGACAGCGACUGGAAGCUGGAUCAGGCCAACCCUGAAGAUCACUCUGUCUCUGGAUGUCGGUUACACAAAUCAAUACAUUUCCAUGUGUUAAAGCAAUUCGACUUGGAUUUUACAUAUAUUUUUGAAACUGAAAACAUUGUAAUCUAUAUAUCUACUUAGAAAGAUGUGAAAUAUCCACCUAAUAAUAAUCAUUUGGGGUUACUAAUAAAAAUUAUUUUUACUUUUCUUCAUUGCUUACUUUAUAA